CUGAGACAGAGAGAGAUCAAUGCGGCUUGUUAUCGCAGCUGCUUUUCCUUUAUUUAUCCUCUUUUGACAGAAAGAGGGAAAAGAUGGCUUGAAAGAAUGCGAGAGCGAGAGAGAAUGAGGCAUCUGAGGACGUGUCUGAAUACAGGAAGUUAUUUUAGAAGAUCUGGGCGGUGGAGGAGCGCUUGUCUCGUUCUCAACCCUGGUAAAGUAAAACUAGACAGGACAGAUGAGAUUGAGGGGAAAAAGGUCAACAUGUGUUGGUUCAUCAACAGUAUAACAGCACAAUGUGCCAGAACACUGACACCACACGGAUGAAGAGUGAAAGAGAGAGAGACAGAAGAAAGAAAGUCAUACAAGUUUGGAGUGACACAAGGUUGCCAAGGUGAUUUAGUUGUGACUGCACGCCACAAGCCCAAAGCCAAAAAUUAUCAGUGUCUGAUGAAUGACGCAGGGCUGCAGGUCAGGACCGUGGCAGGAGCUCAGUUUUGGGAGAGGAUUGCAAAGAUCUGCGGGCCGCUGAUAUGGGAAAACCCCUGUGUAAACACACACACACACACACUUCUAACCCAAUCAGCUACACUUUUAAAUCUGUCUGAAUGCCACCUGUGUUGCUAAGAGCAAGUUUCUGAUUGGAUGUGGGUGUGCAGAGACAAACCCUGAUAAUAACAUUAGCACAAAGUCACAUCUGUCGUGUGGCAUUUAACAUCCCCCCUCGUUGAAUUAGACCCAGCGAUCCUGAGCAGAUUCACUACUGUGCAUCAACUUUAAGUCAAUCACACCAUUACAAGAGAUUCGAAAUGCUCCCUGAAGCACAAAAAUGCCGUCGCAACGUGUGACAGAUGUGUUUUUUUUGCCCAGAAUAAUUGAAGUAGAACUGAAAUCAAGUCUCAAUCAAAUAUUCAUUACCGUUACUCACUACUGCUCGGAGACAUGUUUUAAACGCACACCCGGGACCCGCCAGUGACAAUCAAACUAAGCCAAAGUGUCAAACUCCAUUAGGCACUGUGCCACUGGCAAACGAAA